AUUGAACGCUGGCGGCAGGCUUAACACAUGCAAGUCGAGCGGGGAAGAGUAGCUUGCUACUUAACCUAGCGGCGGACGGGUGAGUAAUGCUUAGGAAUCUGCCUAUUAGUGGGGGACAACAUCUCGAAAGGGAUGCUAAUACCGCAUACGUCCUACGGGAGAAAGCAGGGGACCUUCGGGCCUUGCGCUAAUAGAUGAGCCUAAGUCGGAUUAGCUAGUUGGUGGGGUAAAGGCCUACCAAGGCGACGAUCUGUAGCGGGUCUGAGAGGAUGAUCCGCCACACUGGGACGGAGACACGGCCCAGACUCCUACGGGGGGCAGGAGUAGGGAAUAUUGGACAAUGGGGGGAACCCUGAUCCAGCCAUGCCGCGUGUGUGAAGAAGGCCUUUUGGUUGUAAAGCACUUUAAGCGAGGAGGAGGCUACCGAGAUUAAUACUCUUGGAUAGUGGACGUUACUCGCAGAAUAAGCACCGGCUAACUCUGUGCCAGCCGCCGCAGUAA
rnacentral:rRNA from 1 species